GAGGGUAUAGCUUAGUGGUAGAGUGUGUGCUUAGCAUGCACAAGGUCCUAGGUGCAAUCCUCAGUACCUCCA
rfam:Camelus ferus unplaced genomic scaffold scaffold576, whole genome shotgun sequence.